rnacentral:tRNA from 2 species
GCGGGUAUCGUAUAGUGGCUAUUAUGCAUCCUUCCCAAGGAUGAAAGACGGGUUCGAUUCCCGUUACCCGCU